AGAGUUUGAUCCUGGCUCAGGACGAACGCUGGCGGCGCGCCUAACACAUGCAAGUCGAACGAGCGAGAGAGAGCUUGCUUUCUCAAGCGAGUGGCGAACGGGUGAGUAACGCGUGAGGAACCUGCCUCAAAGAGGGGGACAACAGUUGGAAACGACUGCUAAUACCGCAUAAGCCCACGACCCGGCAUCGGGUAGAGGGAAAAGGAGCAAUCCGCUUUGAGAUGGCCUCGCGUCCGAUUAGCUAGUUGGUGAGGUAAUGGCCCACCAAGGCGACGAUCGGUAGCCGGACUGAGAGGUUGAACGGCCACAUUGGGACUGAGACACGGCCCAGACUCCUACGGGAGGCAGCAGUGGGGAAUAUUGCACAAUGGGGGAAACCCUGAUGCAGCGACGCCGCGUGGAGGAAGAAGGUCUUCGGAUUGUAAACUCCUGUUGUUGAGGAAGAUAAUGACGGUACUCAACAAGGAAGUGACGGCUAACUACGUGCCAGCAGCCGCGGUAAAACGUAGGUCACAAGCGUUGUCCGGAAUUACUGGGUGUAAAGGGAGCGCAGGCGGGAAGACAAGUUGGAAGUGAAAUCCAUGGGCUCAACCCAUGAACUGCUUUCAAAACUGUUUUUCUUGAGUAGUGCAGAGGUAGGCGGAAUUCCCGGUGUAGCGGUGGAAUGCGUAGAUAUCGGGAGGAACACCAGUGGCGAAGGCGGCCUACUGGGCACCAACUGACGCUGAGGCUCGAAAGUGUGGGUAGCAAACAGGAUUAGAUACCCUGGUAGUCCACACUGUAAACGAUGAUUACUAGGUGUUGGAGGAUUGACCCCUUCAGUGCCGCAGUUAACACAAUAAGUAAUCCACCUGGGGAGUACGACCGCAAGGUUGAAACUCAAAGGAAUUGACGGGGGCCCGCACAAGCAGUGGAGUAUGUGGUUUAAUUCGACGCAACGCGAAGAACCUUACCAAGUCUUGACAU
rnacentral:rRNA from 1 species